rnacentral:rRNA from 1 species
UCUGUCGGUAGAAGCGCCGGGGUCCCACCUGACCCCAUGCCGAACUCAGAAGUGAAACGCCGUAGCGCCGAUGGUAGUGUGGGGUCUCCCCAUGCGAGAGUAGGGAACUGCCAGGC